rnacentral:misc_RNA from 1 species
GUGAGUCAUCGAAUCUUUGAACGCAUAUUGCGCUCGAGCCUUCGGGCAAGAGCAUGUCUGCCUCAGCGUCGGUUUACACUCUCACCCCUCCCAAGUAUUUGGGUGCGAUUGGCGUCUAUCGCCGUCCACAGGGGUGGAUCUGGCUUCCCCAAACUGUAAAUGGCAGGUUGGGCUAGCUGAAGUACAGAGGCUUAAGCAAGGACCCUUUGUGGCUCUAACUGGAUAGGUGGAACCGGCUCUUGCCGACUACACGAAGUUAUUGCUUGUGGAACUUGUUAGGGGCUUGGCAGGAACAUGCCU